GACCUUUGGAACACAGCGUUUCAGGAACUUCUUAAAGUCAUGGGUUCUACCAACUGAGCUAUGAAGGUGCUUAUAGACACAACCGCAGAAAACAUAGUGGCUUCGGCGACACACUUUGCCAACAAUACAGUUGGACCCACAUGGUCAAUGAAAAAGGUUGAACAGUGCAUACAGCAAUGAAAUCUGGUGUUUGGAGCUGGAGUUGAACCAGCGACCUUUGGACCACAGCGUUUCAGGAACUUCUUACAGUCCUCUGCUCUACCAACUGAGCUAUGAAGGUGCUUAUAGAAUCAAACGCAGAAAACAUAGUGGCUUCGGCGACACACUUUGCCAACAAUACAGUUGGACCCACAUGGUCAAUGAAAAAGGUUGAACAGAGCAUAGACCAAUGAAAUCUGGUGUUUGGAGGUGGAGUUGAACCAGCGGCCUUUGGAACACAGCGUUUCAGGAACUUCUUACAGUCCUCUUCUCUACCAACUGAGCUAUGAAGGUGCUUAUAGACUCAACCGCAGAAAAAUUAGUGGCUUCGGCGACACACUCUGACAACACAACAAUCAAGCCACCUGGUCAAUGAAAAAGGUUGAACAGUGCAUACAGCAAUGAAAUCUGGUGUUUGGAGGUGGAGUUGAACCAGCGACCUUUGGACCACAGCGUUUCAGGAACUUCUUACAGUCAUCUGCUCUACCAACUGAGCUGUGAAGGUGCUUAUAGACUCAAACGCAGAAAACAUAGUGGCUUCGGCGACACACUUUGCCAACAAUAUAAUUGGACCCACAUGGUCAAUGAAAAAGGUUGAACAGAGCAUACAGCAAUGAAAUCUGGUGUUUGGAGGUGGAGUUGAACCAGCGACCUUUGGAACACAGCGUUUCAGGAACUUCUUAAAGUCAUGGGCUCUAACAACUGAGCUAUGAAGUUGCUUAUAGACUCAAACGCAGAAAACAUAGUGGCUUCGGCGACAAACGGUGCCAACAAUAUAAUUGGACCCACAUGGUCAAUGAAAAAGGUUGAACAGUGCAUACAGCAAUGAAAUCUGGUGUUUGGAGCUGGAGUUGAACGAGCGACCUUUGGACCGCAGCAUUUCAGGAAGUUCUUACAGUCCUCUGCUCUACCAACUGAGCUAUGAAGGUGCUUAUAGAUACAAACGCAGAAAACAUAGUGGCUUCGGCGACAUACUUUGCCAACAAUACAAUUGGACCAACAUGGUCAAUGAAAAAGGUUGAACAGUGCAUACAGCAAUGAAAUCUGGUGUUUGGAGGUGGAGUUGAACCAGCGACCUUUGGAACACAGCGUUUCAGGAACUUCUUAAAGUCAUGGGCUCUAACAACUGAGCUAUGAAGUUUCUUAUAGACUCAAACGCAGAAAACAUAGUGGCUUCGGCGACACACUCUGCCAACACAACAGUCAAGGCACCUGGUCAAUGAAAAAGGUUGAACAGUGCAUAGACCAACAAAAUGUGGUGUUUGGAGGUGGAGUUGAACCGGCGACCUUUGGACCACAGCAUUUCAGGAACUUCUUAAAGUCAUGGGCUCUAACAACUGAGCUAUGAAGUUGCUUAUAGACUCAAACGCAGAAAACAUAGUGGCUUCGGCGACACACUUUGCCAACAUAACUAUUGAACCAACAUGGUCAAUGAAAAAGGUUGAACAGUGCAUACAGCAAUGAAAUCUGGUGUUUGGAGCUGGAGUUGAACCAGCGACCUUUGGACCACAGCGUUUCAGGAACUUCUUACAGUCCUCUGCUCUACCAACUGAGCUAUGAAGGUGCUAAAAGAAUCAAACGCAGAAAACAUAGUGGCUUCGGCGACACACUUUGCCAACAAUACAGUUGGACCCACAUGGUCAAUGAAAAAGGUUGCACAGUGCAUAGACUAAUGACAUCUGGUGUUUGGAGGUGGAGUUGAACCAGCGACCUUUGGAACACAGCGUUUCAGGAACUUCUUACAGUCCUCUUCUCUACCAACUGAGCUAUGAAGGUGCUUAUAGACUCAACCGCAGAAAAAUUAGUGGCUUCGGCGACACACUCUGACAACACAACAAUCAAGCCACCUGGUCAAUGAAAAAGGUUGAACAGUGCAUACAGCAAUGAAAUCUGGUAUUUAGAGGUGGAGUUGAACCAGCGACCUUUGGACCAGAGCGUUUCAGGAACGUCUUACAGUCUUCUGCUCUACCAACUGAGCUAUGAAGGUGCUUAUAGACACAACCGCAGAAAACAUAGUGGCUUCGGCGACACACUUUGCCAACAAUACAAUUGGACCCACAUGGUCAAUGAAAAAGGUUGAACAGUGCAUACAGCAAUGAAAUCUGGUGUUUGGAGGUGGAGUUGAACCAGCGACCUUUGGACCACAGCGUUUCAGGAACUUCUUAAAGUCAUGGGUUCUACCAACUGAGCUAUGAAGGUGCUUAUAGACACAAACGCAGAAAACAUAGUGGCUUCGGCAACACACUUUGCCAACAUAACUAUUGAACCAACAUGGUCAAUGAAAAAGGUUGAACAGUGCAUACACCAAUGAAAUCUGGUGUUUGGAGCUGGAGUUGAACCAGCGACCUUUGGACCACAGCGUUUCAGGAACUUCUUACAGUCCUCUUCUCUACCAACUGAGCUAUGAAGGUGCUUAUAGACUCAACCGCAGAAAACAUAGUGGCUUCGGCGACACACUCUGACAACACAACAAUCAAGCCACCUGGUCAAUGAAAAAGGUUGAAUAGUGCAUACAGCAAUGAAAUCUGGUGUUUGGAGGUGGAGUUGAACCAGCGACCUUUGGACCACAGCGUUUCAGUAACUUCUUAAAGUCAUGGGUACUAGCAACUGAGCUAUGAAGGUGCUUAAAGACCCAACCGCAGAAAACAUAGUGGCUUCGGCGACACACUUUGCCAACAUAACUAUUGAACCAACAUGGUCAAUGAAAAAGGUUGAACAGAGCAUAGAGCAAUGAAAUCUGGUGUUUGGAGGUGGAGUUGAACCAGCGACCUUUGGAACACAGCGUUUCAGGAACUUCUUAAAGUCAUGGGUUCUACCAACUGAGCUAUGAAGGUGCUUAUAGAUACAAACACAGAAAACAUAGUGGCUUCGGCGACAUACUUUGCCAACAAAACAAUUGGACCAACAUGGUCAAUGAAAAAGGUUUAACAGUGCAUAGACCAAUGAAAUCUGGUGUUUGGAGCAUCAGUUGAACCAGCGACCUUUGGACCACAGCGUUUAAGGAACUUCUUAAUGUCCUCUGCUCUACCAACUGAGCUAUGAAAGUGCUUUUAGACACAAACGCAGAAAACAUAGUGGCUUCGGCGACACACUUUGUCAACAUAACUAUUGAACCAACAUGGUCAAUGAAAAAGGUUGCACAGUGCAUACACCAAUGAAAUCUGGUGUUUGGAGGUGGAGUUGAACCAGCGACCUUUGGACCACAGCGUUUCAGGAACUUCUUACAGUCCUCUGCUCUACCAACUGAGCUAUGAAGGUGCUUAUAUACACAAACGCAGAAAACAUAGUGGCUUCGGCGACACACUCUGACAACACAACAAUCAAGCCACCUGGUCAAUGAAAAAGGUUGAACAGUGCAUACAGCAAUGAAAUCUGGUGUUUGGAGCUGGAGUUGAACCAGCGACCUUUGGACCACAGCGUUUCAGGAAGUUCUUACAGUCCUCUGCUCUACCAACUGAGCUAUGAAGGUGCUUAUAGAAUCAAACGCAGAAAACAUAGUGGCUUCGGCGACACACUUUGCCAACAAUACAGUUGGACCCACAUGGUCAAUGAAAAAGGUUGAACAGAGCAUAGACGAAUGAAAUCUGGUGUUUGGAGGUGGAGUUGAACCAGCGACCUUUGGAACACAGCGUUUCAGGAACUUCUUACAGUCCUCUUCUCUACCAACUGAGCUAUGAAGGUGCUUAUAGACUCAACCGCAGAAAAAUUAGUGGCUUCGGCGACACACUCUGACAACACAACAAUCAAGCCACAUGGUCAAUGAAAAAGGUUGAACAGUGCAUACAGCAAUGAAAUCUGGUGUUUGGAGGUGGAGUUGAACCAGCGACCUUUGGACCACAGCGUUUCAGGAACUUCUUACAGUCCUCUGCUCUACCAACUGAGCUAUGAAGGUGCUUAUAGAAUCAAACGCAGAAAACAUAGUGGCUUCGGCGACAAACUUUGCCAACAAUACAAUUGGACCCACAUGGUCAAUGAAAAAGGUUGAACAUUGCAUACAGCAAUGAAAUCUGGUGUUUGGAGCUGGAGUUGAACCAGCGACCUUUGGACCACAGCGUUUCAGGAACUUCUUACAGUCCUCUUCUCUACCAACUGAGCUAUGAAGGUGCUUAUGGACACAAACGCAGAAAACAUAGUGGCUACGGCGACACACUUUGCCAACAUAACUAUUGAACCAACAUGGUCAAUGAAAAAGGUUGAACAUUGCAUACAGCAAUGAAAUCUGGUGUUUGGAGCAGGAGUUGAACCAGCGACCUUUGGACCACAGCGUUUCAGGAACUUCUUACAGUCCUCUUCUCUACCAACUGAGCUAUGAAGGUGCUUAUGGACAGAACCGCAGAAAACAUAGUGGCUUCGGCGACACACUUUGCCAACACAACAAUCAAGCCACCUGGUCAAUGAAAAAGGUUGAAGAGUGCAUACAGCAAUGAAAUCUGGUGUUUGGAGGUGGAGUUGAACCAGCGACCUUUGGACCACAGCGUUUCAGUAACUUCUUAAAGUCAUGGGCACUACCAACUGAGCUAUGAAGGUGCUUAUAGGCCCACCAGCAGAAAACAUAGUGGCUUCGGCGACACACUUUGCCAACAUAACUAUUGAACCAACAUGGUCAAUGAAAAAGGUUGAACAGUGCAUACAGCAAUGAAAUCUGGUGUUAUGAGCUGGAGUUGAACCAGCGACCUUUGGACCACAGCGUUUCAGGAACUUCUUAAAGUCAUGGGUUCUACCAACUGAGCUAUGAAUGUGCUUAUAGACACAACCGUAGAAAACAUAGUGGCUUCGGCGACACACUUUGCCAACAAUACAGUUGGACCCACAUGGUCAAUGAAAAAGGUUGAACAGUGCAUACAGCAAUGAAAUCUGGUGUUUGGAGCUGGAGUUGAACCAGCGACCUUUGGACCACAGCGUUUCAGGAACUUCUUACAGUCCUCUUCUCUACCAAGUGAGCUAUGAAGGUGCUUAUAGACUCAACCGCAGAAAAAUUAGUGGCUUCGGCGACACACUUUGCCAACAUAACUAUUGAACCAACAUGGUCAAUGAAAAAGGUUUAACAGUGCAUACAGCAAUGAAAUCUAGUGUUUGGAGGUGGAGUUGAACCAGCGACCUUUGGAACACAGCGUUUCAGGAACUUCUUACAGUCCUCUUCUCUACCAACUGAGCUAUGAAGGUGCUUAUAGACUCAACCGCAGAAAAAUUAGUGGCAUCGGCGACACACUUUGCCAACAUAACUAUUGAACCAACAUGGUCAAUGAAAAAGGUUUAACAGUGCAUACAGCAAUGAAAUCUAGUGUUUGGAGGUGGAGUUGAACCAGCGACCUUUGGACCACAGCGUUUCAGGAACUGCUUAAAGUCAUGGGCUGUACCAACUGAGCUAUGAAGGUGCUUAUAGACACAACCGCAGAAAACAUAGUGGCUUCGGCGACACACUUUGCCAACAUAACUAUUGAACCAACAUGGUCAAUGAAAAAGGUUGAACAGUGCAUACACGAAUGAAAUCUGGUGUUUGGAGCUGGAGUUGAACCAGCGACCUUUGGACCACAGCGUUUCAGGAACUUCUUACAGUCCUCUGCUCUACCAACUGAGCUAUGAAGGUGCUUAUAGAAUCAAACGCAGAAAACAUAGUGGCUUCGGCGACACACUUUGCCAACAAUACAAUUGGACACACAUGGUCAAUGAAAAAGGUUGAACAGAGCAUAGAAAUCUGGUGUUUGGAGGUGGAGUUGAACCAGCGACCUUUGGAACACAGCGUUUCAGGAACUUCUUAAAGUCAUGGGUUCUACCAACUGAGCUAUGAAGGUGCUUAUAGACACAACCGCAGAAAACAUAGUGGCUUCGGCGACACACUCUGCCAACACAACAAUCAAGCCACCUGGUCAAUGAAAAAGGUUGAACAGUGCAUACAGCAAUGAAAUCUGGUGUUUGGAGCUGGAGUUGAACCAGCGACCUUUGGACCACAGCGUUUCAGGAACUUCUUACAGUCCUCUGCUCUACCAACUGAGCUAUGAAGGUGCUUAUAGAUACAAACGCAGAAAACAUAGUGGCUUCGGCGACACACUUUGCCAACAAUACAAUUGGACCCACAUGGUCAAUGAAAAAGGUUGAACAGAGCAUACAGCAACUAAAUCUGGUGUUUGGAGGUGGAGUUGAACCAGCGACCUUUGGAACACAGCGUUUCAGGAACUUCUUACAGUCCUCUGCUCUACCAACUGAGCUAUGAAGGUGCUUAUAGAAUCAAACGCAGAAAACAUAGUGGCUUCGGCGACACACUUUGCCAACAAUACAGUUGGACCCACAUGGUCAAUGAAAAAGGUUGAACAGAGCAUAGACCAAUGAAAUCUGGUGUUUGGAGGUGGAGUUGAACCAGCGACCUUUGGACCACAGCGUUUCAGGAACUUCUUACAGUCCUCUUCUCUACCAACUGAGCUAUGAAGGUGCUUAUAGACUCAACCGCAGAAAAAUUAGUGGCUUCGGCGACACACUCUGACAACACAACAAUCAAGCCACCUGGUCAAUGAAAAAGGUUGAACAGUGCAUCCAGCAAUGAAAUCUGGUGUUUGGAGCUGGAGUUGAACCAGCGACCUUUGGACCACAGCGUUUCAGGAACUUCUUACAGUCCUCUGCUCUACCAACUGAGCUAUGAAGGUGCUUAUAGACACAACCGCAGAAAACAUAGUGGCUUCGGCGACAAACUUUGCCAACAAUACAAUUGGACCCACAUGGUCAAUGAAAAAGGUUGAACAGUGCAUACAGCAAUGAAAUCUGGUGUUUGGAGGUGGAGUUGAACCAGCGACCUUUGGACCACAGCGUUUCAGGAACUUCUUAAAGUCAUGGGUUCUACCAACUGAGCUAUGAAGGUGCUUAUAGACACAACCGCAGAAAACAUAGUGGCUUCGGCGACACACUUUGCCAACAAUACAGUUGGACCCACAUGGUCAAUGAAAAAGGUCGAACAGUGCAUACAGCAAUGAAAUAUGGUGUUUGGAGCUGGAGUUGAACCAGCGACCUUUGGACCACAGCGUUUCAGGAACUUCUUACAGUCCUCUGGUCUACCAACUGAGCUAUGAAGGUGCUUAUAGACUCAACCGCAGAAAACAUAGUGGCUUCGGCGACACACUCUGACAACACAACAAUCAAGCCACCUGGUCAAUGAAAAAGGUUGAACAGUGCAUACAGCAAUGAAAUCUGGUGUUUGGAGGUGGAGUUGGACCAGCGACCUUUGGACCACAGCGUUUCAGGAACUUCUUACAGUCCUCUGCUCUACCAACUGAGCUAUGAAGGUGCUUAUAGACACAAACGCAGAAAACAUAGUGGCUUCGGCGACACACUUUGCCAACAAUACAAUUGGACCCACAUGGUCAAUGAAAAAGGUUGAACAGUGCAUACAGCAAUGAAAUCUGGGGUUUGGAGGUGGAGUUGAACCAGCGACCUUUGGACCACAGCGUUUCAGGAACUUCUUACAGUCCUCUUCUCUACCAACUGAGCUAUGAAGGUGCUUAUAGACUCAACCGCAGAAAAAUUAGUGGCUUCGGCGACACACUUUGCCAACAUAACUAUUGAACCAACAUGGUAAAUGAAAAAGGUUUAACAGUGCAUACAGCAAUGAAAUCUAGUGUUUGGAGGUGCAGUUGAACCAGCGACCUUUGGACCACAGCGUUUCAGGAACUUCUUACAGUCCUCUUCUCUACCAACUGAGCUAUGAAGGCUCUUAAAGACUCAACCGCAGAAAAAUUAGUGGCAUCGGCGACACACUUUGCCAACAUAACUAUUGAACCAACAUGGUCAAUGAAAAAGGUUGAACAGUGCAUACAGCAAUGAAAUCUGGUGUUUGGAGGUGGAGUUGAACCAGCGACCUUUGGACCACAGCGUUUCAGGAACUUCUUAAUGUCCUCUGCUCUACCAACUGAGCUAUGAAGGUGCUUAUAGACACAACCGCAGAAAACAUAGUGGCUUCGGCGACACACUCUGCCAACACAACAAUCAAGCCACCUGGUCAAUGAAAAAGGUUGAACAGUGCAUACAGCAAUGAAAUCUGGUGUUUGGAGGUGGAGUUGAACCAGCGACCUUUGGACCACAGCGUUUCAGGAACUUCUUACAGUCCUCUUCUCUACCAACUGAGCUAUGAAGGUGCUUAUGGACACAACCGCAGAAAACAUAGUGGCUUCGGCGACACACUUUGCCAACACAACAAUCAAGCCACCUGGUCAAUGAAAAAGGUUGAACAGUGCAUACAGCACUGAAAUCUGGUGUUUGGAGGUGGAGUUGAACCAGCGACCUUUGGACCACAGCGUUUCAGUAACUUCUUAAAGUCAUGGGCACUACCAACUGAGCUAUGAAGGUGCUUAUAGCCCCACCAGCAGAAAACAUAGUGGCUUCGGCGACACACUUUGCCAACAUAACUAUUGAACCAACAUGGUCAAUGAAAAAGGUUGAACAGUGCAUACACCAAUGAAAUCUGGUGUUUGGAGCUGGAGUUGAACCAGCGACCUUUGGACCACAGCGUUUCAGGAACUUCUUACAGUCCUCUGGUCUACCAACAGAGCUAUGAUGUUGCUUAUAGACUCAAACGCAGAAAACAUAGUGGCUUCGGCGACAAACUUUGCCAACAAUAUAAUUGGACCCACAUGGUCAAUGAAAAAGGUUGAACAGUGCAUACAGCAAUGAAAUCUGGUGUUUGGAGCAGGAGUUGAAACAGCGACCUUUGGACCGCAGCAUUUCAGGAACUUCUUACAGUCCUCUGCUCUACCAACUGAGCUAUGAAGGUGCUUAUAGAUACAAACGCAGAAAACAUAGUGGCUUCGGCGACAUACUUUGCCAACAAUACAAUUGGACCAACAUGGUCAAUGAAAAAGGUUGAACAGUUCGAUGAAAUCUGGUGUUUGGAGGUGGAGUUGAACCAGCGAGCUUUGGACCACAGCGUUUCAGAAACUUCUUACAGUGCUCUGCUCUACCAACUGAGCUAUGAAAGUGCUUAUAGACACAAACGCAGAAAACAUAGUGGCUUCGGCGACACACUCUGCCAACAUAACUAUUGGACCCACAUGGUCAAUGAAAAAGGUUGAACAGUGCAUACACCAAUGAAAUCUGGUGUUUGGAGGUGGAGUUGAACCAGCGACCUUUGUACCAUAGCGUUUCAGGAACUUCUAACAGUCCUCUGCUCUACCAACUGAGCUAUGAAGGUGCUUAUAGAAUCAAACGCAGAAAACAUAGUGGCUUCGGCGACACACUUUGCCAACAAUACAGUUGGACCCACAUGGUCAAUGAAAAAGGUUGAACAGAGCAUAGACCAAUGAAAUCUGGUGUUUGGAGGUGGAGUUGAACCAGCGACCUUUGGAACACAGCGUUUCAGGAACUUCUUACAGUCCUCUUCUCUACCAACUGAGCUAUGAAGGUGCUUAUAGACUCAACCGCAGAAAAAUUAGUGGCUUCGGCGACACACUCUGACAACACAACAAUCAAGCCACCUGGUCAAUGAAAAAGGUUGAACAGAGCAUACAGCAAUGAAAUCUGGUGUUUGGAGCUGGAGUUGAACCAGCGACCUUUGGACUACAGCGUUUCAGGAACUUCUUACAGUCCUAUGCUCUACCAACUGAGCUAUGAAGGUGCUUAUAGAAUCAAACGCAGAAAACAUAGUGGCUUCGGCGACACACUUUGCCAACAAUACAGUUGGACCCACAUGGUCAAUGAAAAAGGUUGAACAGAGCAUAGACCAAUGAAAUCAUGUGUUUGGAGGUGGAGUUGAACCAGCGACCUUUGGAACACAGCGUUUCAGGAACUUCUUACAGUCCUCUUCUCUACCAACUGAGCUAUGAAGGUGCUUAUAGACUAAACCGCAGAAAAAUUAGUGGCUUCGGCGACACACUCUGACAACACAACAAUCAAGCCACCUGGUCAAUGAAAAAGGUUGAACAGUGCAUACAGCAAUGAAAUCUGGUGUUUGGAGGUGGAGUUGAACCAGCGACCUUUGGAACACAGCUUUUCAGGAACUUCUUACAGUCCUCUUCUCUACCAACUGAGAUAUGAAGGUGCUUAUAGACUCAACCGCAGAAAAAUUAGUGGCUUCGGCGACACACUUUGCCAACAAUACAGUUGGACCCACAUGGUCAAUGAAAAAGGUUGAACAGAGCAUACAGCAAUGAAAUAUGGUGUUUGGAGGUGGAGUUGAACCAGCGACCUUUGGACCACAGUGUUUCAGUAAAUUCUUAAAGUCAUGGGCACUACCAACUGAGCUAUGAAGGUGCUUAUAGCCCCACCAGCAGAAAACAUAGUGGCUUCGGCGACACACUUUGCCAACAUAACUAUUGAACCAACAUGGUCAAUGAAAAACGUUGAACAGUGCAUAGACCAAUGAAAUCUGGUGUUUGGAGAAGGAGUUGAAACAGCGACCUUUGGACCACAGCGUUUGAGGAACUUCUUACUGUCCUCUGCUCUACCAACUGAGCUAUGAAAGUGCUUAUAGACACAAACGCAGAAAACAUAGUGGCUUCGGCGACACACUUUGUCAACAUAACUAUUGAACCAACAUGGUCAAUGAAAAAGGUUGAACAGUGCAUACACCAAUGAAAUCUGGUGUUUGGAGGUGGAGUUGAACCAGCGACCUUUGGACCACAGCGUUUCAGUAACUUCUUACAGUGCUCUGCUCUACCAACUGAGCUAUGAAGGUGCUUAUAGACACAAACGCAGAAAACAUAGUGGCUUCGGCGACACACUUUGCCAACAAUACAAUUGGACCCACAUGGUCAAUGAAAAAGGUUGAACAGUGCAUACAGCAAUGAAAUCUGGUGUUUGGUGGUGGAGUUGAACCAGCGACCUUUGGACCACAGCGUUUCAGGAACUUCUUAAAGUCAUGGGCACUACCAACUGAGCUAUGAAGGUGCUUAUAACCCCACCAGCAGAAAACAUAGUGGCUUCGGCGACACACUUUGCCAACAUAACUAUUGAACCAACAUGGUCAAUGAAAAAGGUUGAACAGUGCAUACAGCAAUGAAAUCUGGUGUUUGGAGCUGGAGUUGAACCAGCGACCUUUGGACCACAGCGUUUCAGGAACUUCUUACAGUCCUCUGCUCUACCAACUGAGCUAUGAAGGUGCUUAUAGAAUCAAACGCAGAAAACAUAGUGGCUUCGGCGACACACUUUGCCAACAAUACAGUUGGACCCACAUGGUCAAUGAAAAAGGUUGAACAGAGCAUAGACCAAUGAAAUCUGGUGUUUGGAGGUGGAGUUGAACCAGCGACUUUUGGAACACAGCGUUUCAGGAACUUCUUACAGUGCUCUUCUCUACCAACUGAGCUAUGAAGGUGCUUAUAGACUCAACCGCAGAAAAAUUAGUGGCUUCGGCGACACACUUUGCCAACAAUACAGUUGGACCAACAUGGUCAAUGAAAAAGGUUGAACAGUGCAUAGACCAAUGAAAUCUGGUGUUUGGAGCUGGAGUUGAACCAGCGACCUUUGGACCACAGCGUUUCAGGAACUUCUUAAAGUCAUGGGCACUACCAACUGAGCUAUGAAGGUGCUUAUAGCCCCACCAGCAGAAAACAUAGUGGCUUCGGCGACACACUUUGCCAACAUAACUAUUGAACCAACAUGGUCAAUGAAAAAGGUUGAACAGUGCAUACAGCAAUGAAAUCUGGUGUUUGGAGCUGGAGUUGAACCAGCGACCUUUGGACCACAGCGUUUCAGGAACUUCUUACAGUCCUCUGCUCUACCAACUGAGCUAUGAAGGUGCUUAUAGAAUCAAACGCAGAAAACAUAGUGGCUUCGGCGACACACUUUGCCAACAAUACAGUUGGACCCACAUGGUCAAUGAAAAAGGUUGAACAGAGCAUAGACCAAUGAAAUCUGGUGUUUGGAGGUGGAGUUGAACCAGCGACCUUUGGAACACAGCGUUUCAGGAACUUCUUACAGUCCUCUGCUCUACCAACUGAGCUAUGAAGGUGCUUAUAGAAUCAAACGCAGAAAACAUAGUGGCUUCGGCGACACACUUUGCCAACAAUACAGUUGGACCCACAUGGUCAAUGAAAAAGGUUGAACAGAGCAUAGACCAAUGAAAUCUGGUGUUUGGAGGUGGAGUUGAACCAGCGACCUUUGGAACACAGCGUUUCAGGAACUUCUUACAGUCCUCUUCUCUACCAACUGAGCUAUGAAGGUGCUUAUAGAAUCAAACGCAGAAAACAUAGUGGCUUCGGCGACACACUUUGCCAACAAUACAGUUGGACCCACAUGGUCAAUGAAAAAGGUUGAACAGAGCAUAGACCAAUGAAAUCUGGUGUUUGGAGGUGGAGUUGAACCAGCGACCUUUGGAACACAGCGUUUCAGGAACUUCUUACAGUCCUCUUCUCUACCAACUGAGCUAUGAAGGUGCUUAUAGACUCAACCGCAGAAAAAUUAGUGGCUUCGGCGACACACUUUGCCAACAAUACAGUUGGA